CUCAGGAUGAACGCUGGCGGCGUGCCUAAUACAUGCAAGUCGAGCGAACAGAUAAGGAGCUUGCUCCUUUGACGUUAGCGGCGGACGGGUGAGUAACACGUGGAUAACCUACCUAUAAGACUGGGAUAACUUCGGGAAACCGGAGCUAAUACCGGAUAAGAUUUUGAACCGCAUGGUUCAAUAGUGAAAGACGGCCUUGCUGUCACUUAUAGAUGGAUCCGCGCCGUAUUAGCUAGUUGGUAAGGUAACGGCUUACCAAGGCAACGAUACGUAGCCGACCUGAGAGGGUGAUCGGCCACACUGGAACUGAGACACGGUCCAGACUCCUACGGGAGGCAGCAGUAGGGAAUCUUCCGCAAUGGGCGAAAGCCUGACGGAGCAACGCCGCGUGAGUGAUGAAGGUCUUCGGAUCGUAAAACUCUGUUAUCAGGGAAGAACAAACGUGUAAGUAACUGUGCACGUCUUGACGGUACCUGAUCAGAAAGCCACGGCUAACUACGUGCCAGCAGCCGCGGUAAUACGUAGGUGGCAAGCGUUAUCCGGAAUUAUUGGGCGUAAAGCGCGCGUAGGCGGUUUUUUAAGUCUGAUGUGAAAGCCCACGGCUCAACCGUGGAGGGUCAUUGGAAACUGGAAAACUUGAGUGCAGAAGAGGAAAGUGGAAUUCCAUGUGUAGCGGUGAAAUGCGCAGAGAUAUGGAGGAACACCAGUGGCGAAGGCGACUUUCUGGUCUGUAACUGACGCUGAUGUGCGAAAGCGUGGGGAUCAAACAGGAUUAGAUACCCUGGUAGUCCACGCCGUAAACGAUGAGUGCUAAGUGUUAGGGGGUUUCCGCCCCUUAGUGCUGCAGCUAACGCA
rnacentral:rRNA from 2 species